rnacentral:rRNA from 1 species
UACGAAGGGGGCUAGCGUUGCUCGGAAUCACUGGGCAUAAAGGGCGCGUAGGCGGCUUUUCAAGUCAGGGGUGAAAUCCGGCAGCUCAACUGUCGAAGUGCCCUUGAUACUGAUGAGCUCGAGGGAGGUAGGGGUGUGUGGAACUUCCGGUGGAGCGGUGAAAUGCGUUGAUAUCGGAAGGAACGCCGGUGGCGAAAGCGACGCACUGGACCUCUUCUGACGCUGAGGCGCGAAAGCUAGGGGAGCAAACGGG